CUACGGGACGCACCAGUGAGGAAUAUUGCACAAUGGGGGGAACCCUGAUGCAGCAACGCCGCGUGGAGGAUGACGCAUUUCGGUGUGUAAACUCCUUUUAUAUGUCAAGAAAAUGACGGUAGCAUAUGAAUAAGCACCGGCUAACUCCGUGCCAGCAGCCGCGGUAAACGGAGGGUGCAAGCGUUACAUCGGAAUCACUGGGCGUAAAGGACGCGUAGGCGGGUUGGAAAGUCAGGUGUGAAAUCCUACAGCUUAACUGUGGAACUGCACUUGAAACUUCUAAUCUAGAGUAUGGGAGGGGGAGAUGGAAUUAGUGGUGUAGGGGUAAAAUCCGUAGAUAUCACUAGGAAUACCUAAAGCGAAGGCGAUCUCCUGGAACAUUACUGACGCUAAGGCGUGAAAGCGUGGGGAGCAAACAGGAUUAGAUACCCGUGUAGUC
rnacentral:rRNA from 1 species